GCCGCUGGGUCGUUGUGGCGUGGAGAUCCACCUAUCUGGACUCGGAUCGAUUCCUCCCUGCCGAACGAACAUAUGCAUCAUCAGCAGGUCGGGGAGUUUUCUUAGCUUGGAGAGGUUGGUGAUUGGUAGAAAAAGCUUGCCGUCACGGUCUGGUCCUGUGAAUCUACUAGUUCGAGACUUCGAGUAAACAUCACCCAUCGCCUUCCACAGAUCCGGGUGUCCCGGACUAUCAGUAAAAUAGAAGUUCAGCUCAGCCGCCGGCCGUUAAUGUCUGCAAUAGCUUAACGAGUCAGUUCUUCGGCUGUAGUAUGUAGACGAUGACAAGUUACGGAUACGAAAAUGACUGCUUGCACGUACGUGGGGGCAUUUUAAUACAAUCUGUUGCCUUCUGAAUUGUCUAGUUUCCUUAGUAUCUUUUUCUUACUACUAGACAGUAGCUUAUUGUCUUAAUAUGCAGUAACUAGACGAUGACAGUAGCUUAUUGUCUUAUAAUAUGCAGUAACUAGACAGUAGCUUAUUGUCUUAAUUUCUG